rnacentral:rRNA from 1 species
AGUGAACGCUGGCGGUAGGCCUAACACAUGCCUGUCGAACGGCAGCACAGUAAGAGCUUGCUCUUACGGGUGGCGAGUGGCGGACGGGUGAGGAAUACAUCGGAAUCUACUUUUUCGUGGGGGAUAACGUAGGGAAACUUACGCUAAUACCGCAUACGACCUACGGGUGAAAGCAGGGGAUCUUCGGACCUUGCGCGAUUGAAUGAGCCGAUGUCGGAUUAGCUAGUUGGCGGGGUAAAGGCCCACCAAGGCGACGAUCCGUAGCUGGUCUGAGAGGAUGAUCAGCCACACUGGAACUGAGACACGGUCCAGACUCCUACGGGAGGCAGCAGUGGGGAAUAUUGGACAAUGGGCGCAAGCCUGAUCCAGCCAUACCGCGUGGGUGAAGAAGGCCUUCGGGUUGUAAAGCCCUUUUGUUGGGAAAGAAAAGCAGCAGGUUAAUACCCCGCUGUUCUGACGGUACCCAAAGAAUAAGCACCGGCUAACUUCGUG